rnacentral:rRNA from 1 species
GACGGAGGAUGCAAGUGUUAUCCGGAAUCACUGGGCGUAAAGCGUCUGUAGGUGGUUUAAUAAGUCAACUGUUAAAUCUUGAGGCUCAACCUCAAAAUCGCAGUCGAAACUAUUAGGCUAGAGUAUAGUAGGGGUAAAGGGAAUUUCCAGUGGAGCGGUGAAAUGCGUAGAUAUCGGGAAGAACACCAAAGGCGAAAGCGCUCUGCUGGGCCGAAACUGACACUGAGAGACGAAAGCUAGGGGAGCGAAUGGG